AACGUAGGAGACAAACGUUAUCCGGAGUUACUGGGCGUAAAGGGCGUGUAGGCGGUUUGUUAAGUCUGGCGUGAAAGCUCUCGGCUAAACCGGGAGAGGUCGUUGGAUACUGGCGGACUUGAGGGAUGCAGAGGAAAGUGGAAUUCCCGGUGUAGUGGUGAUAUGCGUAGAUAUCGGGAGGAACACCAGUGGCGAAGGCGGCUUUCUGGGCAUUUCCUGACGCUGAGACGCGAAAGCGUGGGGAGCGAACCGG
rnacentral:rRNA from 1 species